rnacentral:ncRNA from 1 species
UCAUCAAGAGAGACUGAGGGACUGGCCCUAUGACGUUUCAGCAACCUACCUUAGAGGUGUGGUGCUAAUUCCAGAAAGAUGACUU